AUGCCGCGCCACCGCCGCUGCAGCCGGCUGCGCCGCAUCGUCGGCGGCGUCUCAGUCGGAGCUCUCCUGCUGUUAGCCGGAAGCGGAGGCCACAACGCCUACGCGGGCCGCCCGGUCUUCUCGUUGCCCCUCGGCCUCGGCGCCCCCUUCCCGCUCGUCGCCGACAGUCCGGCGCCCCCGCCCUUCCCGUUCGCUGCCGACUUUUCGCCGUCGCCGUCCCCGUCCCCGCAAUCCCAAUACUCGCCCUUCCGCCUCAGUGAUGACAGCCUCGCGCGGCGCCUUCUCCCCCUCCGCCUCCGCGCCGGCCACUCGCCGCCGCCGCAGGAGGCGGAUGCGGUCCUCCUUCCCGACCAGGAGGUCCUGGUCCUCGACGACACUGAGCCUACCGGCGACUCCAUCUGCGCCUUCCAGGGUGGGGCGUCCUCCCCGGCGAGACCGCUCGGGAGGCUGCCGGCGUCCGGGCUUCACGCAUACGUCUGCCGCCUUCCCGAGCCAGCGCAGAGCUUCCAGCAGCUCCAAGCGCCGCUCUUACUCCACUCCUCCACCUCCUCGGCCGCCGCAGCUGCUCCAGAUCCUCCUUCUCCUUCUCCGGGCCGCGCAUUGCUUAACUGGAGCAGCGACCCGAUAGUGUUUGACUCGGCUCUUCUGGACGGAGGCGACGUGCUCGUCUUCGCUAAGGGAAUCAGCCGCCGCCAAGGUCUUCGGUGCCUGUAUCGCUACAGCGACGGCGCCGAUACCAUGCUGGCAUCUACGCCGGCAAUCAGCUCAGUACAGCAAGUUACUCGCUGCCCCUCGCCGCCUACACCUGUCAAGUCAGGAGGAAGCACCAAGGUUCUUGUCACACUAGGGGUCACCGGCGAGGAUCCCAUGCCCUCCCUUGCAACCUUUCGUCGACAGCAAGCUGAAUCUUCUUCGCUGACUCCCCACAAGAGUUCAAUUUGCGCCUGCACAAUGGGACGCAACAUCUCCAAGUUUCUCAGGGAGUGGGCACUCUACCAUAGUGCGAUUGGGGUGGAUCAGUUCUUUAUCUACGAUAAUGGCAGCGAGGACAACUUGGCAGGCCUAGUGGCGCAGCUCAUAUCCUCCGGGCUCAACAUCACAACCGUGCCAUGGCCUUGGACCAAGGUCCAAGAAGCUGGUCUGUCUCAUUGCGUGGCCACACAGCAAGCUUCGUGCCAAUGGAUGGCUGUCAUAGAUGUUGAUGAGUUCAUCUUCCAACAAGCUGGGCAGGAUUGGAGAAGCCAUCAAAAUCUUUGCUAG
rnacentral:rRNA from 1 species